UCUUCCCAUUCCGAACAGAGAAGUUAAGCCCGACUGCGCAGAUGGUACUGCAGUUAUGUGGGAGAGUAUGUCGCCGCCUUUC
rnacentral:rRNA from 1 species